UACAGUUUUAAAUGCAGUAUGAGGUUUGAUGUUUUCAUUUUAUAGUUUCGUGUGCAUAUUUUACUAUUUUACUGAUUAUGGAUUGAAUGACUGGGAUAUUGAUGCUGUAUGUUAUCUGUUUGGCAUAAAUUACCGUUUGCUUGUUUGUAUGUGGAUUGAUGAUGCUGACUGAGGGAAAAGAGAAUGAAAGAUUAUGUAAAUGGGUAAUUGUAUAAUGUGGUCAGCCUGACUAGAUAUCCUGAGAGAU
rnacentral:lncRNA from 1 species